rnacentral:rRNA from 1 species
GUGGAAACUGAAAGACUAGAGUGCGGUAGGGGCAGAGGGAAUCCCAGUGUAGCGGUGAAAUGCGUAGAGAUUGGGAAGAACACCGGUGGCGAAAGCGCUCUGCUAGGCCGCAACUGACACUCAGGGACGAAAGCUAGGGGAGCGAAUGGGAUUAGAUACCCCAGUAGUCCUAGCCGUAAACGAUGGAUACUAGGCGUUGUCUGUAUCGACCCGGACAGUGCCGUAGCUAACGCGUUAAGUAUCCCGCCUGGGGAGUACGCACGCAAGUGUGAAACUCAAAGGAAUUGACGGGGGCCCGCACAAGCGGUGGAGUAUGUGGUUUAAUUCGAUGCAACGCGAAGAACCUUACCAGGGCUUGACAUGUCGCGAAUCUGGGUGAAAGCUCAGAGUGCCUUCGGGAGCGCGAACACANGGUGGUGCAUGGCUGUCGUCAGCUCGUGUCGUGAGAUGUUGGGUUAACGUCCCGCAACGAGCGCAACCCUCGUCCUUAGUUGCCAUCAGUAAGUUGGGAACUCUAGGGAGACUGCCGGUGACAAGAUCCGGAGGAUAAUGGUGGGGAUGACGUCAAGUCAGCAUGCCCCUUACGUCCUGGGCUACACACGUACUACAAUGCUCCGGAAUCACAAGAGCAGCGAGCCAGCAAUGGUCGGCUAAUCUCAUAAACCCGGGGCUCAGUUCAGAUCGCAGGCUCAACUCGCCGCGUGAAGUCGGAAUCGCUAGUAAUUGCAGGUCAGCAUACUGCAGUGAAUUCGUUCCCGGGCCUUGUACACACCGCCCGUCACACCAUGGAAGCUGGUCACG